rnacentral:rRNA from 1 species
CUUCGGACGGGGUGAGUAACGCGUGAGAAUCUGCCUCUCAGGACGGGAAACAACAGCUGGAAACGGCUGCUAAUACCCGAUGUGCCGAGACGGUAAAAACAAUAUAUGGCCUGAGGAUGAGCUCGCGUCUGAUUAGCUAGUUGGUGGGGUAAGAGCCUACCAAGGCGACGAUCAGUAGCUGGUCUGAGAGGAUGAUCAGCCACACUGGGACUGAGACACGGCCCAGACUCCUACGGGAGGCAGCAGUGGGGAAUUUUCCGCAAUGGGCGCAAGCCUGACGGAGCAAGACCGCGUGCGGGAGGAAGGCCUAUUGGUUGUAAACCCCUUUUGAUAGGGAAGAAGUACUGACGGUACCUAUGGAAUCAGCAUCGGCUAACUCCGUGCCAGCAGCCGCGGUAAUACGGAGGAUGCAAGCGUUAUCCGGAAUUAUUGGGCGUAAAGCGUCCGUAGGUGGUUGUUCAAGUCUGCUGUUAAAGCGUGAGGCUUAACUUCAUACCGGCAGUGGAAACUGGAUGACUAGAGUGCGGUAGGGGUCAGGGGAAUUCCCAGUGUAGCGGUGAAAUGCGUAGAUAUUGGGAAGAACACCGGUGGCGAAGCGCUUGUACUGGACCUGCACUGACACUGAUGACGAAGCAAAAAGGUG